AUGCGGGCAGUUUCAAACAUUACUUGUAAACACGUGACUCCGCUCACAUCUGUAACGCGCAUGCGCGAGUUCUUAGACGCCUGCAGAGCUCCGAGCGGACGAGGCGAAGUUACGGCAGCAGAGCGACAUGAACGGGCUGAUAGAACCACGACUACCGGCUCCACUACUCUGUUUCUGUGGAUGGAGGUUACAUCUGAGUGGCCCUGCUUUACACCUGGUUUAAUAACCCCCAAUAUUAGAAUCAUUUCUGUCGUAGGAUUUAAUGCACCGUACAUCUUUAAGUUGUUCAUACUCUACACACCUACUUCUCUGCUGUUUUCCUUCAGGUUUCUCCCAGUUGACGUUUUUUUUUUACAUUUUGGGGGUUUUGGGACAGGAUUUUGCAUGUUUACAGAUUGCAAAGCUGAACAAAAUAAAAUGAUUUGAAUUGAAUAAACACGUUGACCAGAGGAAUCUGUAAUUGAGGGGUGUUCUGUGCACUCUGACUCCCUUCACACAAAGAAUCAUCAAGUGAGGAUGAGGGAGAUGCAGCUGAUUUCAGGUAAACAAUCCCAAUUCAAGUGACUCAGAGCCACAUCUGGUUAAGGAUCUGAAAAUGAACUCCCAACACAGAAUUUUAAACUAACUUGUCCAUAACUUGUCCAAUUUCAUAGUUAAUUUCCCUGAAAUAUAUUUUAUUAAGUGUUAUAUGUAUAAUAAAUACAAAUGAAUGAAAAUGUGUUUUUCCUUGUUACGGGCUGUUCACAUGACAACUGACUAAGUAUGUAACUUGUACGUUUCCAGAGAGCAAUUUAUCUGUUGAGAAGAGGUUGCAAAUUGGUUUAAAGGUGAGUUUUUUUCAACGUCUACUUAGACCCGUUUUCAACGUGAUCUUUAACACCGGUGGUAAACAAAUGUGGACGUUUCUUUUUUUAAAUGCUGGAACGAGCUCUGAUGAUGACACCAGGACCACAGAGAGCCUUCACAUCUUCCUCCGCAAACUAAAGACACACCUCUUCAGACUCUACCUCCACUAUAAGCACAAUUUAUCUAUUGUAAAUUGGCUUAUGAGGGAAUUGCACUCUUGUUCUGAGUUUCUAUGGUUGAAUGUACUUAUUUUAAGUCGCUUUGGAUAAAAGCAUCAGCUAAAUGACAUUUAAAUGUAAUAAAAUCUCUAAAAUGAUAUAGCAAAGACUAAAUAUUACCGUAUAAAAAAAUCACGUUGAAAUGCUCGCUGCGCUGUAUCCUAUGCAAUAGAAAAAUAAGUCCUUGCGUAUGUAGCGACACAAGAUGUAUGGAAGAGGGCAGUUUAAAUAUCCUGGUGUUGCCAGACAAUCCCACCCUGGGAAUUGUUUUAAAUCUUCUCAACCCAACAAAAAUAGGAAGAAGGGGAAGCACUCAGGUUCGUCGCAAAUGAGGCAAUUUACAGUACAAAAUGUAAUUUUUUUGUAAAGAAUUGUUCCAUAAACUCUCAUAAAGAUGAAUAAUAUUAAGUCGAUACAAACAAACAAUAUAAACAUGACAGAUUGAAGGUAAAUGUAAAAAGAGGAGCUUCAGAACUAAAACAAAACUGAAAUGAACCCGGAUCACAGAAACAUCACAAACAUCUACCAGGAAAUAAAUAACAUCUAUUAGAAAUAUAUAUUAUGAGGCAUAUUUGAUUUGAAGCCGAUUAAAGAGCAGCGGUGGAAGAAUGUUUACUUCAGUAGAAAUACAGUAAUACCAGUGUAAACUACUCUAUAUAUAUAUAUAUAAUAUCAUAGCAUGAAUGUUCAUCACAUUAAUGCUGCAGAUGAGCUCAUUUGACUUAUAUCUGCUGGAUACUGUGCGAAGGAAAUUGUUUCACUGCAAUCUAUUUUAUUACGCAAUAAUUUAUUAUCUUAUUCUGCAGCAAAAAAAAAUCUUAUUUAAUUGUAGUUCAAUAGAAGUACAAAUUGAAAGGAAUUUAAAAUACUUAAGUAAAGGCAUAAAAUUACUAUUGCUAAUCACUAAGGACUAAGUAUUUUGAACAAACAAAGUUCUGAUUCUCUCAAACACACCUGUUGUUAGAAGUCACGGACGUUCUCCCUCCAGGUUGGUCUCAGAUUUGAGUUCAGCCUUCAACCAUUUCAGAGAAAUGAUCUGGGGUCUGUUUCAAGUAAGUACUAAAGCUCAGGGUUAGUCACCAUGGUAACUUCUUUCAGAGUCUCCUCCCUCUUGACAGCAGCCCAGCCAAUCACACAGCGUGCUUUCAUUCAUUCACUCAUUCACUCUGUAUCAGACAGAUUGUACCGCAGUUUCCACAUAUAAACAAAAUAAGAUGUUACGUUAACGACUAAAGUGUUUUCUGGAACGCGUCUCGUCCUUUUCUGGACUCUCCUGUUGAUGAAGAAGCGGUUUUACUUUGCAGGGUGUUAAACACGUCGGGAGAGAAUAUUGGUUUAGACAUAUUGUCAUUUCCAAAUGACUACUUGUUUGAACGGUAUCGUUUUUCUUCACAGUCCCAUCCAAUAUGUUCAUGACCUUACCAGUCCUCAUAUAACUAACGUCUCCCAUCGUGGACGUGCUCUCACAUACGAGCUCAUUCUUUGUGUAGUAUUACGUGUUUUCCUUUACAUUAUAAUAUUAGUAAAGCUGCUGUAUGCAGAGCCGUGAGAAACGUCUUUUAAACAUUUUUGUUCCCUGGACACAAACCAGUGAGACAUUAAAGAGGAGUUCCACAGGACGCACCUGAAUAAAACACAUUACAGGUCCAAUACCAUUGUACCAGUUUUUACCAGCGAUAUUCCAUCCAUCCAUCUUCAGCCACUUAUCCGGGGUCGGGUCGCGGGGGCAACAGCUCCAGCAGGGGACCCCAAACUUCCCUUUCCCACAUCUACCAGCUCUGACUGGGGGAUCCAAGGCGUUCCCAGGCCAGUGCAGAGAUAUAAUCUCUCCACCUGGUCCUGGGUCUUCCCCGGGGCCUCUUCCCAGCUGGCCGUGCCUGAAACACCUCCCUAGGGAGGCGCCAGGGGGGUAUCCUCACCAGAUGCCCAAACCACCUCAACUGGCUCCUUUCGACGCAAAGGAGCAGCGGCUCUACUCCGAGCUCCUCGCGAAUGGCUGAGCUUCUCAUCCGAUCCCUAAGGGAGACGCCAGCCACUCUCCUGAGGAAACCCAUUUCUGCCGCUUGUACCCGUGACCUAGUUCUUUGGGUCAUGACCCGUCCUUCAUGACCAGAGGUGAGGGUAGGAACGAAGAUUGACCGGUAGAUCGAGAGCUUUGCCUUCCGGCUCCAGUGAUAUUAUUCUUGUGAUUAAAUGAGCCUGUGUGUGCAGUGCAUUCUAACAGAGUAAAACAUUUAAUUUUCCCACUGGGAAUUAGUAAAACGUAUGGAUUAUGAUUAGUUUGUACAUUAAAUAUGAACUGGCAACACUCCAUUGAAACUUUUGCGUGGACCUGAGCAGCAAUUUUCUCCCACGCCGUUUCGCUGUCUUUUUUUCUAAUUAUGGGUUCA
ensembl:lncRNA